UACGUAGGUGGCAAGCGUUGUCCGGAUUCAUUGGGCGUAAAGAGCUCGUAGGCGGCUUGGCAAGUCGGGUGUGAAACCUCCAGGCUCAACCUGGAGACGCCACCCGAUACUGCCAUGGCUAGAGUCCGGUAGGGGACCACGGAAUUCCUGGUGUAGCGGUGAAAUGCGCAGAUAUCAGGAGGAACACCGGUGGCGAAGGCGGUGGUCUGGGCCGGAACUGACGCUGAGGAGCGAAAGCGUGGGUAGCAAACAGG
rnacentral:rRNA from 1 species